GGCCCUGCUGAGGACUCUGCUAGCGCUGGCAGCUUUCUCCACAGCCAUCGCUGCCCUCAAACUUUGGAAUGAAGAUUUCCGAUAUGGCUACUCUUAUUACAACAGUGCCUGCCACAUCUCCAGCUCGAGCGACUGGAACACCCCAGCCCCCACUCAGAGUCCAGAAGAAGUCAGAAGGCUACACCUAUGUACCUCCUUCAUGGACAUGCUGAAGGCCUUGUUCAGAACCCUUCAGGCCAUGCUCUUGGGUGUCUGGAUUCUGCUGCUUCUGGCAUCUCUGGCCCCUCUGUGGCUGUACUGCUGGAGAAUAUUCCCAACCAAAGGGGUGAGUCCCUAAGGUGUGUGCCUGUGUAUUUGGGGCAGUGGAACUGCUCAAAGGAGACAGGAAUGGACAGUGGACAGUUUGGGGAGGAGAAAGGGGCCCAUGACCCAAGUCCCACCUAUUAUCAUGCCUGUCUUUCUACCCAGUGGUGGCCCAGCCCAGAAAGCCCCUAUCCCCAACCAAGUGGCCCCCAAGUCAAAGAGCCCAGGAAU
rnacentral:sRNA from 1 species